rnacentral:tRNA from 1 species
GGCCCUAUGGUGGAAUUGGUAGACACGUCGGUCUUAGAAACCGAUGCUUUAUGCUUGAGAGUUCGAGUCUCUCUGGGGGCA